GCGUCUUCCCAGCCUGUGACCUCCUUGGCUCUCCAGUGGCCUUCUCUGACCCUGGAGAAUGAGCUGGCUCCCCCCAGCAGGAUCCAGGGUCACCAGGAGGAGCAGGAGACCUUGGGCAGCCACUUGCCCCAGUGGCCGGUCACCGCCAGAGAUUCUGGCCACAGCCUGCCCUGGCCUGUCGGCACCAAACUUCAGAUUCCCAGAGAACCACCCAGAGAGGGACGGCCGUGCCAGGGCCGCGGACACCUGGCUGCCAUCUUGGAAUCUGGAGCUGGUGACCAGCAGGCUUGGGGCCUCAGGGUCUCAGCGCUAGCCAUUGCCCCAGGGGACAGAGGGGCCUUGGGUGUUUGGCUUGGGGUUGCUGUAAAUAUCGCCACCCCAAACCACCACCAGAUUCCCUCACUCCAAAAAGUAGUGGUGAAUCCAGAAGCCCCUGGGGGUGGCCCCCGAGGGAGCUGGGGAGCAUCCGGCAGGAAGUGCUGCCGCCCUCCUCGCCCCCAGGACUCACCCCAGGAGAGCCCAGAACUGGGCACAGAGGACACUCACUGUGGUGCUGAGAGAGGUGAGGCGCUGCGUGAGGGAGACGGCGGGCUGGGAUGGCCGGCCAGCAAGUCCAGCCAGAGACCCCCCCCAGGGCCAAGAGGAGAGGUACAGGGCCCCCUGUGGCUGCGGCGAAGGACUCCGACCGGUCUGCAGACUGGGGUCCGUAACUGCCAAGCCCCUAAGAGGCUGCAGCUGCCUGGGUCCCAGGAACCUCAGGGUGGAGCUGGGGGCUGGGGCCUGGGGGCAGCUGGCCGGGAAGGGAACACAAGGAGGGGUGGCGGGAGGGUCGGGGGACAGACAAAGGACAGGGGCCCGGGCUCUUCCCCGGUUCCAUGUGGAUUAGCAGGACAGACCCUGUUCUGGCCCAGCCAGCCUUGGUGGCUCUAGGGUCGGCUGGUGGGUUUUACCUCCGAAGGGCCCUGGGGACACUCGGGGCACAGGGAGUGGGUGCUUGGGUCAGCUCUCGAGCACCUGUGGCAGGCGGGCGGGCACUCGGCUCAAGCCUACCUGGGUGCGUCCCCCGGUGAGGGGCUCCCAGAGUCACUUCUCCAAGGAGACAUGACGGUGCCCACAGUGGGGACUCCCGGGAUCCCAGCCUGCAGGGGGACUGAGGCGCAGCCGCACGCGGUUCUCCUCCCAGGCCUCGGAGCCGGGAGCUGCACUACUGGGCUCGAGUCUGAGCUCCUGCUGCAGCCGGGCCUCCUGAGGUCCUCCUGUCCGGGCCUCUUUGUCCAGCAGCCCUGCACAGAGUCUGGGGAGCGGGCUCACUCAGACACAUUUUGGAGCCUUCUGCUUGGCCUGGUGGCUUUAGUUUUCUGUCACCGUGGCACAGAGAUGCCCUUUUGUUGGAGCUAAAACUGGCACCAUUUCCACCAGGAGAGGCUUGACUGUCCCCUUCUGUCCUGUCCUUUAUCCGUGCACUUCCUGUGUUCUGGAAUGGACCGGGGACUUCAAGGGGACAGAGGGGCUUUGGGCAGCUCUGCCACCCUGGCACGAGGGGCAGCCGAGCAGUGCUCGUUGGGUACAGGCAGGCCCGGGACACAUUGGAAGGUGGAGCCUGGCUUCCAGGGCGAGGAGGAGCUUCCGUACGGCCCUGGCCAGCCUGAGAUGGGCAGGUCCCUUGGAAAGGCAGGCCCUGCACACCCGGGCCUGGUGCCCGCCCACCCUACCUGGGAGCCAGAAACGACACCCUGGGCACGGGGCACCCCCAGCUUCCCUGCCCCGGCUGUGAAUGGGAGGAGGAGGCACCCGAGUUGGCCUCUGCCCGGGGUCAGGCAUGGCCCUGGACGCUCAGGCCCUGGCCCUGCCCCUCCCUGUGGCGAGUUGCUGCAGCCACGUGGGGUGUGGUGGACAAAGGGGCGGGGCUCCUCUUGGGAGUGGCCAGCCACAGGAAGGGCCUGUGUGUGGCCGGGGACGAUCCAGAGCCUGAGGAAUUGCGGGAGGCGCUGGGGAGGCCCAGGCAGCUUGGCUGGCCACCGCGGGCUGCCCUCCUUCUCUCCCUGGAAGCUCAGGGAGCAGGCGCUGGGAGGAGCCCACGCUGGUGCCCGGAACCUCGGGCACCUGGGGAGGGUGGACCCCACCCUGCCCGAGGCCUCCUCACCCCCACCCGCCGGCCUCCACACCUGGGCUCCACCCCCACCCGCCGCCCAAGCAGCCUCCAGCUGGCUCCAAGGAGUCUGGGCGGCUGCUUCUGCCACCCAGCCCCACCCUGGCUCUUCUCUGCCACCUGGGACCCACUCCUCAUCCCCACUCUGGUCCCUCUCUGCUCCAUGACCUGCUGACGGUGGUCUCUCUCCUCUUUCCCAUCAGACCACUGUCACCUCCAACAGAACAGGGCUGGCCACCCGAGCUCUGCCUCCCCGCCUUCUCCCAGCAUCUUCUCCCUCCUCGCGGCCUCUAGCUGCCCCUGUAUCGCCAGGAAAGAGCAGCUCCCGCCUCCCGUCGGACCUGCCACCACCGCAGUCCUGUCUUCCUCAGAUGGGUCACAAGGGCUCAGGGGUGCUCUUGUGCCCCAGGACCUUUGUGUGUGCCUCUCUUCCAGCCUGGGGAGUGUCCCUCCUUCAUCUUGAGGGCUUCAGUCCUGGGGCCGCCUGGACGGACGUAGGGGAUGGGCGUGAGGAUGCAGCCCCAGCGCUGGGCCCAGCUCCUGGCACAGGGUGGGCCUCAGGGGCCUUGGGAAUGAGGGCUGAGGGAGUGAGCGGCGUCACCCGAGGCGGGCCCUGAUCACGAUGCUCUGCACUUAAACAUGGGGAUCCCCGUCAGUGGCUGUGCACCAGGGUCCAGGUUCCUCGUCGGGAAGCGUGGCUGGAGGUCCCCAGGGCUGCAGCGGGGGCUACUCGGAGCCCCAGAGCCUGGGACAAAGCAGGGCUGGACACACGGGGAGGGGACAGGGUGCUGCCCUCUUCCUGGGGCAGGCUUGGCCUCACUCCCACGUUUCCCUGGCCAUGUCCCUCUGGCUGGACACAUACACGGGAUGCUUCAGAGGGCAAAAGCAGCCAAGCUCUCUCGACAAAGUACAAGGUCAGCACCUGGCAGACACCGAGGGCAGCCGCAGGGGCUCAGGCUCCGGGGCGUUGACAGGGACCCAGGUUGACCUAGGACCCCAGUAACGUGUGUGACAGGUGCCACUGCAGGACCUCAGUGAGUGUGCCACAGUCACUCAGCCCCAGGUGGCUACUGGGAUCCUCGCUGCUCGCUUUGUGGCCCGUGAGCAGGUGGCUCGGUGGCCGGGCUUUACAUUUCCCUUGACGGGUAACACCUAAAUAUAAACCAACAAAAGCCCAGCGUCAGCCCCUGCUCACUGCUCAAGACCGGGUCAGAUUCUCGGCUAAGAAAGAACUGGGUGAUGGAUUGGGUAAUGAUUCUUGGACACUGGAAGAAUCUGUCCUCAGUUUUCCGCGUUGGCGCUGGGUGGCUGCAGGGUGACGCACUCCCAAGCUCACCCCACCUUAGCGUCUCCUCUAAGGUGACGCUUGCCCAAGGCUGCGUGGUCAACAAGGCCAUCCAUCAAGGUUGGCCAAUUCCUUGGAGUCAAUACUUCUGCCGUGGCCUGUCACAAGCCACCAAAGUCCCUGGACAGGAUUGGAAGUCACUGAAGAGUGCCGGGCGGCUGGGUGUGUCUCCACCACGUAGAGAAGGGGUGGUGGCUCAGGGCGUAGACGCUGGUGAAAUGCCCUGGGCAGCCCUGGGCCUGGACCGCUGCUGGCCUUGUUUCAAUCUCAUGCACACCAUGUUGGAUUGUCAACCUGGGCGGGGGUCAGCAGCGUUCCCAGACGUCCUGAGAACCUGUGACCGCUUCCUUGGAGCUGGUCCGAACACACUCCGCCAGGAGGGACUCACCUCUGUUCUGCACAGCCGCCUCCAGAUCUUCACUGGUUCAGUUCCACGCGGCCAGUCAGUGCUUCCUCAGUGCGCCGGGCAGGGGUGGGUGGGCCAGAACCCCCCAGAGUGAGCCCAGGGACUGCAGAUGUGACAGGACCCUUCCGAUGGGGAACCCGAGGCCGGGGGAAGUGCUGGCCUGGCCUCUUGCUCUUCUGCCCCACAAGAGAACCGGGCAGUGCAGGUGACCCGCAGCCCUGGGCCCCGGGACUUGACUCCUCUCCUCCCCUUCAGGAUGGCAGUGGGCCCUUCUCCCUCCGAGGCCGGGUGGCCAGGAGCAGGAGUCCUGCUGAUUCCUGUCACCCUUGUACCUGGACACCACAGAGGGACAAGAUAGCCAGUGGCCAGGCCCAUGGGGCUGGCGUGAAGGGGAAGGGGCCGCAGGGUCGGAUAAGAGGAUGGUGGGGGGACCAUGGGGACUUGGCAUUUGCAGGGGCAGGUACACAACCCAGAUUGAGGGUGGACAGAGAGGAGGUGGCCCAUCCAGGGUCCACCAAGGCACGUUCUGGCCACCAGUGCUCUGAGGUCCCCAGAGAGGGGUGAGGGUCCCGGCAGCCCAAGGGACCCUGCGUGGGCUAGAGCAUGCCACCAGCAUAAGAGCACGGCCCUGCCUCCCGCUAGACGGGGCAGGGUGGAUGCAGGGUCAGCAUCAAAAGCGGUCAGGAGUCGGAGGUGGGUGUGUGACGGCCACGAACUGGGCCUGCCUGGUUGGCUCCUGCUCUGGGGUCCUGGGGCUGGGGGACACCUGCUGAGGAAACCCGAGGGCCCAAGCAUCAGUGGGCUCCAUCUCAAAGCAGCAAGGGAUGCUGGGAAUGUCCCACGUGGCCCAAUAACGGAGGCCCAGAGAGGGUGCUCGUCACUCAGGUCUCAGUGCACAGCAGAGACGCUAGGUGGCCGACACAUACGUGGGACCGAGCCGGGACAGAGCGGGGCCAGGCCAGGGCUGGGCCAGGGUUGGAGGGAGCCCCGAGGGGCCGCGGGGAGAUGCCUGGGAGCCGUCUCCUAGCGACGGGCUUCCCGCCGCCCCGCGCGGGCCCCUUGCUCUGGGCACUGCCCACCCUGACACGGACGGCAGGGGCUGUUCAUUGCUCUUCUGCAUGAAUAAGCGCCAGGCCUCCUGCCAAUUGUUCCCCUCUUAAAAGGCAGCCCCCGCGAAAGCCCUUUUCAAGUGGGACCGCGCGGUGCCACCCAGGCCGGGCGGGCAUUGUUGUGAGCUGGGGUCCCGGCUCCGCGGCUGGGGUCGGGGGCCACACAAAGCAUCAUGAGGGAGGCUUCGUGCGGGGCCCCAGCAGCCCCGUUUAUGAAUCUGCGAAACCUGAGCCACCGACUCCCGAGUGGAGACCCAGUGAGGACGGCGGCCCUGAGGAGGGGGCUCUGCAGGAGCAACUCUGGUCCCUCCUUAUACCGCUUCUUUUUUUGGGGGGGGGGAUUGAACUCAAGGUCACUCAGCCACCAAGCCCCAGCCCCAGCCCCAGCCCCCGACAGGGGCUCGCUGUGUCACUUAGCAUCUUGCUGGAGCUGAGGCCAGCUUUGAACUGGAGAUCCUCCUGCCUCAGCCUCCCCAGCCGCUGGGAUCAUAGGCGUGGGCCACCGCACCUGGCCUUAUACUGCUUCUAAUGGGCUGCAAAACCCUGGCACCAGGUGAACCCAGAGCCCGUCAGGGGCUGAGAUGUGCCCCUGGCUGGGGGACAGGCCGGUGCCCUGCAGGGGCUGACGCGGGACCCUUGCAGGGGCUCAGGAAAUGGUCUGGCUUGAGUGUGCAUUUGCACACGCACCCCCCCCCCCAACACCACCAGCAGCUGCAUCCCAGAGCUGCCUGCAGAACUGGCUGCCGGGACCCGCAAGUGGCAGCGCAGGGACAGAGAGCAGGAGGCUGAGGUAGGGCGGGGAGGCGAGGCCGCCCCUGGCCUCCGGGCCACCAGGAGGAGUCACGGUGGGGGAAGGGCCCACGUCACCUCCCGUUUGGUCCCAGGUGGGGUCCACUGGACACCGCCCCUUGGCCUUCCCAGAGCGGGUGACCUCUCCAGAGGCCCUCAGCCCAGGAAGUCAGUGGCCCAGGCUGGGGUCCCCGGAAGGCUGGGGGCUCCCUGGAGAAGGUCUGCCCGGCAAGACCCCCUCUGCAGAGACCGUCCUGCCACACUAGGGAGCACCCCAGAUGGCUCUGGGGAUGUGCAGGGUGGCCACCAGAGUCUACCCCCUCCUCCCUGCUUCGACAUUUUCCACAGCCAUUUCUAAAGGCUUCACAGCUUCUCAUAGGCUAAGUCUCGGUCUCCCCUAGAGCCCAGCAAACUACUGCCCACUGGAAACAAGCCCAGAUGUCCACAGAGAGCUGCCUCGUGCCUGGAAGUUCACAGAAACCACAUUCACCCCACCCCACUGGACGUGCCCUCACGUCCACCAGCAGGCAGACGGUAGAUCCACGCCAUGGAAUAUUACUCAGUGGAAAAAAAGGGACAGUGCACGGUACACACAGCAGCCACGAGCCUUGAAAUAGCGUGCUCAACAGAGGAAGCCAGAACCAAGGAGGAGACACCAUUUAGUCCACGUAUGCAAAGCCCAAGAGCCACCAAGUGACCCUAUGGUGAUUCACUAGGAGGGCACCAGGGAACUGUCCAGGUGAUGGAAAUGUCCUGUGUGGACCCAGGUAGGAAGUCAUGAGCCUUCACAUCAGAACCGGCGUUUCACUGCAUGUAAAUGGAACUUGAAUUUAAAAGAAAAACAGCUCAUUAUGAUGGAAAGAUGGAUACAUACGAGGUGGAGAAGACGGGGCCUCCAGCACCUGGGAGGAAGGACAGAUUCGGUCCCGUCCUAUGCUGUGUGACCCUGGUGCAUUAUGCGCCUCUCUGUGCUCCUCUUCCUGCUUCAGGGCGUGCUAAGAGGAGAUGAGCCCUGCCCGGUCAGCCCUUCCUGAAGCCCCCUGGCUCAGUCUAGGGAAAGAAGGGACUCGGGCAGCCUCCCACACCACAGGGCCCGCCCCUCCUCGAGCCUGGGAAAGAGGAGGUUUCUGCUCCCUCCCCCAGGGGCCUGGGAGGUCAGCGGGCGGGGGAGGGGUGCUGUGGGAAGGAGCAGCGUCCAGGCGGCUCCCACUGGGUCCAUCCCCUGCUCUGUGCUUCAGAUGACCACGGUUUGCCCCCUGGGCACGGGGCCCUGGGAGCAGGCACUGAAUCCUGCACCCACACCCUUCAGGCCCCUCUGCCCUGCACAGGGACAGCCCAGGUCACUGAGGGCCAAGCCAGACCCCGGUCCAGGCCCCUGGGCCCUGGGCAGGUGUCCUCCAGGGGCAGCCGGAGACCUCUCAGCGCCCCUGGUGAAUGAGGGCGCCUGCCCCCACGGCUCCCAGGAAUCAAACCCAACCACUCAAGUUAGUGUCCCCAGCACUGGCCACAGAGAGUGACAAGGUGCCUCAUUCAAGACCAGAAGGACCAGGGUUGGUGGGAGGGACAGGCUUGACCCUGUGGGGACACGUGGGCCUGGAGGAGGGCGCGUCCCUCUGUGCCAUCUGAAGGAAGCCCUGGCAGACUAACCACGGGCAUCGGAAGGGCUCCAGCCUCCCUCUUUCCACGGUGUCAUGUAUGUGCCUGUCCUCUGGGCCAGCGAUGGCUGUGGAGGUGGCCACCCGGGGAAGCCCCCAGGUGUGCACUAGAGAACCAGCCGGUCUGGGAGGCUUCAGCCAGUGUCCCCUGCUGGCUCUGAGCAGAGGUGGAGUCCCCAGGAGGGUGCAGGAGGGGCCGGCAGGAGGAGAGGUGGUGCUGGGCAGGCAGCGAGUCCCCUGAGGACAGCCAGGCUGGCCGGCAGGCUGGGGACCCCUUGCUGUCCUCAGUGCUGGUGGUGGGUGUGAGGUGGCCCAGGGGGUCUGCAGAGCCUGAGGAGCAGCCCGUGUGCAGUGGGCACGGGAAGCUGGGCUGCCACUCCAGGGCCACAGCGGGGCAGGGCGGAGGCCGCAGACGGGACAAAAGGAAGCCAGAGAGGCGGCUGGGCGGGGGCCCAGGUGCCCUGCCCAUGGCCAGGCCCGCGGAGGGCCUGGCAGGCUGGCACUACAGUGACGGUGUCCCCUCCCUGUCCUCUGCCGGGCAUCCCUGAGCCCGGCCUGGUCUGGUCCCCAGGCAGCCGAGGUGCAGAGCCUGUGUGGGGCCGACUCUGGCCGGGCUUUCCUCAACAGCUGUUAAGUGGGUUCCAUUCGGCCAGCCGAGGGACGCGGGGACUCUCCCCGCAGGGCUGCUCAGGCACCAGGGGGCCUGUGGCUGCGGGUGUGAGCCCAGGUGUCCGUGUCGGCUCGCGAGGGUUCACACACGCUGCCCGUGCACCCGUGGGCUGAUGCCGCAGGCCGGGCACCUUGGUCACCCCCCACAGCGUGGGUCAGAGCUAACGCACGGGGCACCUGCCAGCGCUCUGGUGACUGCACGUCUGGGACCAGGAGUGUGUUCGCGGAAGAUGCGACCUGGGAACCCGCUGCACUUGCUCACAGGCGUGGGUGUCUGUAGGGACGCAUGGGUGUGCCUGGCGUGAGCUGCAACCAGGCUCAGGUCACUCUGACUCAGGUGUGGCCUGUCCACUCAGGGCUCUGGUGCACGAAGCCUGGUGCCCAGUGGCAACAUGAGAGGUGGGGGACCUUGAAGGACCCUUCCUGGUGGGGGUCUGUAGGCCCCUGGGGGAUUGCGAGGGCUCUCCUGGGACCCCUGAACGGCUCCUGACGCUGGCUCGGGUGUGUCCCUUCCUCCCCCACGUGCCCCAGCUGUCGGGAUGCCACCCACCAGGAGAAGCCCAGACCAUGCCUGUGCCUCCCCUUGAACCUGGACUAUCCACUAAAUAAAGUUACAAACUUAACC
rnacentral:lncRNA from 1 species